rnacentral:rRNA from 1 species
UACGUAGGUGGCAAGCGUUGUCCGGAUUUACUGGGCGUAAAGAGCGCGCAGGCGGUCGUUCAAGUCGCGUGUGAAAGCCCCCGGCUCAACUGGGGAGGGUCACGCGAUACUGAUCGACUCGAAGGCAGGAGAGGGUAGUGGAAUUCCCGGUGUAGUGGUGAAAUGCGUAGAUAUCGUGAGGAACACCAGAGGCGAAGGCGGCUACCUGGACAAUUGCUGACGCUCAGGCACGAAAGCGUGGGGAGCAAAAGGG